UACGGAGGGUGCGAGCGUUGUCCGGAAUCACUGGGCGUAAAGGGCGCGUAGGUGGCGCAGGAAGUCAACGGUGAAAGUUCGGGGCUCAACCCUGGAAUCGGCCGUCGAUACUCCUGGGCUCGAGCACUGUAGAGGCAGAUGGAAUUCCGGGUGUAGCGGUGGGAAUGCGUAGAGAUCCGGAAGAACACCGGUGGCGAAGGCGGUCG
rnacentral:rRNA from 1 species